rnacentral:lncRNA from 1 species
CUGAAAGUGAAAAUACUGUGAUUUCCCUAUAACUAUUUAUUUCAUACAUACCUUUAAAGAUACUUUAUAUCGUGUGAAUUAACCACCCAUUUUUUACACACAGUACAUAUUAUUUUAUUGUAUGAUAAUAUAUUUCACCAAUGCUGUGCCAUUAUCUUUAAAAAUAAUUUUUAAGAUACUGCAGUUCAUAUACACUUUAUACAUAUAUAUUUUUGCAUCCUUAUCUAGUUUCGUAGGGGAGGUGUCUAAAUAAGGCAUUUCUAAAUAAAGGUGGAAAUAUUCAAAAUGUUGAUAUAUAUUUUCAAAUUGCCUCACAAUUAUAAAAUUUACACUUUAAGGGACAUGAGAAUGCAUUUUCUCAGCGCUUUGUUGACGAUAAGGUUUAUCAUUAUUUUUCAUUUUUACAAUAUGAUAAAGGCAGAUGUAGAAUCUCAUUAUUCUAAUUGAAUUUUUUUAUUGCUAGUGAGCUUAAGCAUCCAUUUUUAUGCCCAUUGGCCAUUUGUGCUUCUUCUGUAAAAUGCAUGCUCAGGCCCAGUCUUUUCCCCUUCCCCCACUGGGGGUAUUAAUCUUUUCCUUUUUGCUUAGUCGGAGUUUUCAUUUUUCGUCUUUUACAUGGGGUCAGUUUGAUUCGGGCUUUCAUCCUUCCUUGCCUUAUGGAGUGCAUAUAUAUUUACAUACAUAAUAUAUUCUCCAUUGGUCUUUUAACGUCCUUCUCAGAAACUGGCUCCUUUUCUCUCUCCCUCCCUCUUCCCUCUUUUUUCUCUCGUCCUCUUUUCUCUUUGUUUCUUUCUCUCUUUGUUUCUCUCGCUCCUUCGCCCCCACCCCCCCAACUACAGAAGUUUUUAAUUUUGACCGAGUCGAAUCUAUCAUUCUGGGCCUGGCGCCGCGUCAGCAGAGGGGGCGGGGAGGCGAGCUCGGAACUGGGGGAGGGGACGGGGCGGGGAGGAGCGGGCAGAGCGGCUGCAGGAGUUGCUGGGAGUGCGCUUGGUGUGAUCACUCAGCGGCGAAGGAGGCCCAGAGACCUGAACGGCAGAGACUUCCCCCGCGGCCUACGGAGCCUUAUCUCCACUGGAGGACCAGGGAACCGCAGUCUUCAUCACAGAGUCUCUGAGGGAUUGCAGAAUGACUCCAUUUCCUUGGUGCAUUCAUAA